CAAUACCACUUUUUAAAAAUACCCCUCUUUCUCAUUUUAUCAAAAAGUCACAUUAAAAUUUGAAAUUUAUCAAAAACAUGUGUGUAAGCUUAUAUUUAUAGACACAAAUUAUCUUUAUAUGUGUGUAAAUUUUUAUAUAUAUUUCAUAAAUACCGUAUAAAUACCUUUUAAAAAUCAUUUAAAAACCUUAUAAAAACUGUGUAAACCUUUUAAAAACCUUAUAAAAACCUUAUAAAUGCCGUUUAGAACCUUUUAAAACCUUAUAAAUAUUUGGAUUUAGUCUCCCAGUAAUAAUCAUAAUCUUGAUGUACCUUCUCAACCAUAUAAAAGUUUAUAAUUUUUCAUAUUUGAAAAGGGGUAUUUUUGAAAAUGGAUAGAAAAGAGGGGUAUUUUUAAAAAUG
rnacentral:lncRNA from 1 species